CAAUAGCGUAUAUUUAAGUUGUUGCAGUUAAAAAGCUCGUAGUUGGAUUUCGGUUAAGAGCGACCGGUCCGCCGUUUGGUGUGCACUGGUUGGUUUUAACUUCCUGUAGAGGACGUGCUCUGGGUUUAACGACCUGGACUCGGAGUCUACGUGGUUACUUUGAAAAAAUUAGGGUGUUCAAAGCGGGCUUACGCUUGAAUAUUUCAGCAUGGAAUAACACUAUAGGACUCCUGUCCUAUUUCGUUGGUCUCGGGACGGGAGUAAUGAUUAAGAGGAACAGUUGGGGGCAUUCGUAUUUCAUUGUCAGAGGUGAAAUUCUUGGAUUUAUGAAAGACGAACUUCUGCGAAAGCAUUUGCCAAGGAUGUUUUCAUUAA
rnacentral:rRNA from 1 species